AGGAGCCUCCGAAACUUAACCUGGGUCGGGCGGUAGAGUCCUCGGCUCGCGUCCUGAGGUGCCGCUGCUAGUUGUCUUAGCGAGGAGGGCGGAACGGAAACGCUCAGGCCCUCUUAAUGCACUGCUAGACUUGAAAGAAUCACACUGCUCUCAAAAGUGUAAAUUCGAAAGCUAAAAGAACAAAAAUUUCAGUUUUAAUAUAUUUUGUGGACAGUGAUUCUUCUUCUGUUGUCCAGAGAAGGAUGUGCUGAAGAGUUCCCCCCAACCCGAGGACUUGGGGGCUUUCAGGCGCAGAGGGAGCCUUCCCUCUCGCCUGCAGCCUUCUUGCAGAUUUGGCCUCACAACCCUGAUUUGGGCUGGAGGUAUUUGGUUUUCCCUCAGGGGAGGAGACUGCGAAAUGUCUGAGCUUAGAGUGACGUCUGCGCUCACCUCGUCCUAAUUGCAUGGGGAGGGUGAGGGCUGCUCCGCGUUGGUGUGUGACCACAGCUGAGGGGUGGAUGGGAUCGGAGCUCUAGAGUCUGGAUCUCUAGAACACUCUGGCCCCAUCUGCCUCUAAAUGGGAGACACACACAAGAGAACCCUUUCCCCAAAUUGCACUUGAAUUUUGCAGAGCCUCACCAAACCCAGUUCCCCUAUUUCCUUAGCAAUAAUAUGGUGGAUGCCUUCCUCUCUUGGGUCAUACACCCCUUUUACCCACCACUUUCCUACCUAGGAGAAUCCUUUAUUCAAACACAAGAAACAAUGCCAGCAAUGUGUAUAAAUACUAUGCUUUAAUGAGCCCCUUAAAUAGAAAUUCCACUACAAAAAUACAGAGGAGAUAGGGUGUUUCCUGUAUCCGCCUCAUUCCCAUAGAAAACUAUAAGGGAAGAAAUAGAACUUGGAAUUAAAGCAGCAGCAAGGCGAGGUGAGAAUGCGAUUUCUAGGCCAUCUUGUUGGGACUGAUGAACAGCAUCUCUGAUCUCAUGAUUUAACAUCUGGUUAUCCAGAAGGGAUGGGAUUGGCCUAAAAAAACCGAUCAAUUUCUGGAUUGUUUUUGUUUCUUAAUCCUUCAAAUGACAAGAAGCAAAAAUAUUUGUAGAAACUAAGCAAGACAAGAGUUGGAGCAGUUAACACCACUAUCUGCAGCAGAAACUCAGACCUUCUUAGUGAACUUAAGGGCUGAAGUGUGAAAGCUGAGGCUGCAAGUGCAGAUACAAAAAAAAAAAAAAAAGAUUAGACAGAACCCUCCUCUACCCCAGAUCCCCCUCUGCCCUGCCUUUGAGAAUGCCAGCAAUUUCAGUGGGAUUGAGAAUGGUAUGUGGAUCUCUUUUCUUGGAGUGAUCCUCAGGAGAUAUUCUUGGUGUCCAUUUCCGUAAUAACUCCUGAAGAUGGGAUAGCUCAUCCUGGAGGCCAGAGAUUGUGGGAGCUGAGAGGCCCAUCUGGGGAGGAGGCAAAGAGGAACAGAGAAGAAUACUGUUGUAGCUCUGGCCCCCUGCUUCUCUGCUACUUCUGGUGUCUUUAAUUCUGUUUCCCCUUUCAGCUAUGCCCUAAAUUCCACUUAAUCUAAGCCACAA
rnacentral:lncRNA from 1 species